UACGUAGGGCGCAAGCGUUGUCCGGAAUUAUUGGGCGUAAAGAGCUCGUAGGCGGUCUGUCGCGUCGGAUGUGAAAGCCCGGGGCUUAACCCCGGGUCUGCAUUCGAUACGGGCAGACUAGAGUGUGGUAGGGGAGAUCGGAAUUCCUGGUGUGGCGGUGAAAUGCGCAGAUAUCAGGAGGAACACCGGUGGCGAAGGCGGAUCUCUGGGCCAUUACUGACGCUGAGGAGCGAAAGCGUGGGGAGCGAACAGG
rnacentral:rRNA from 1 species